ACGCUCGACACCUACGGGAGGCAGCAGUGGGGAAUAUUGCACAAUGGGGGAAACCCUGAUGCAGCGACGCCGCGUGAAGGAAGAAGUAUCUCGGUAUGUAAACUUCUAUCAGCAGGGAANAAAAUGACGGUACCUGACUAAGAAGCCCCGGCUAAUUACGUGUCAGCAGCCGCGGUAAUCUGAGCGGGCUGGCAAGGC
rnacentral:rRNA from 1 species